rnacentral:tRNA from 1 species
GCUCGGAAAGCUCAGUUGGGAGAGCGCAAGACUGCAGAUCUUGAGGUCCCUGAUUCGAUCCCGGGCGCGAGUG